rnacentral:rRNA from 1 species
UACGUAGGGGUCCAAGCGUUGUUCGGAAUCACUGGGCGUAAAGGGUGCGUAGGCGGGUCUUUAAGUCAGGGGUGAAAUCCUGGAGCUCAACUCCAGAACUGCCUUUGAUACUGGAGGAUCUUGAGUUCGGGAGAGGUGAGUGGAACUGCGAGUGUAGAGGUGAAAUUCGUAGAUAUUCGCAAGAACACCAGUGGCGAAGGCGGCUCACUGGCCCGAUCUGACGCUGAGGCACGAAAGCGAUGGGGAGGCAAACAGGG